UACGGAGGGUGCAAACGUUGCUCGGAAUCAUUGGGCGUAAAGCGCACGUAGGCGGCUAGAUAAGUCGGGUGUGAAAGCCCUGGGCUCAACCCAGGAAGUGCAUUCGAAACUGUCUAGCUUGAAUCUCGGAGGGGGUCAGAGAAUUCCCGGUGUAGAGGUGAAAUUCGUAGAUAUCGGGAGGAAUACCAGUGGCGAAAGCGCUGACCUGGACGAAGAUUGACGCUGAGGUGCGAAAGCGCGGGGAGCAAACAGG
rnacentral:rRNA from 1 species